UACACACAUUCACCUGGACCUGUUGACCAGGAUCUUACAAUCUCGUGCAACUAUGAAUUUAGCCCUACCAUUAUAAUAACUAACACGAUGAAGAUGCAUAGCAGGCUUCAUUAUAUUGCUUUUGGAACAGAGCCACAUACAGAUUAAUAAAACCAGCUCUUUUGAGUAACAGGAAGGACUUGAAAACUACAUAUUAAAAAAACAAGCAGCAAAGAAGAAAAUUUAAGGCAAGUUGUUUUUCUAAAUAUUUUGAUUUAUUAUUUAAAAUGAACUUCAUUGUUUCUUUUGUUGUAUGCAUAAUACAGAACAGGCAAAUUAUGAAAAUAAUCUUGACUAGAAUCUUUCAAUCAAGAUUAGAUUUAGAUUUAACUUUUUAGAACUGAUUUCCACAAGGGAUGGGAAUGGGCAGGGUUUAAACCCGGAACCAUUGGUAAGUCUGAACAGUCCAUCACACAAAAUGCAUGACCAGGCAGACAUCUUGAUUUGAAUUACUAACUAAGAUAGGCCUACUUUAUAAAAAAAACAACUAGUUCUUGGCGUCCAUUGUUAUUCAAACAGUUACAUAGUUACAAGAAUUGAUCUUGAAAUAAAAUGUUGUUUUUUUUAAUAAACAAGUUAACUUUAAAGACCUUACGAUCUAUAAGGCAGAUGAUGUAAAGGUCACCUCUGUUUCUGUGGACCACGGUUAACGAGGAUGUCUUGGCCAGCACAAUGAACAACCACCUUACUUUUCCCCAACUAAUGUCAAAUACCAAUUAAACCUGGUUGGACUCAGAGGUAUCCCAAAAUUCAAAAUACCAGUCUUUAACGAGAUUCGAACCUGGUACUGCAGGUUUCACUAAGGGCCUCUUUUGAAUGAAUAGAUCUACAAUUUUCAUACUAAUAGAUAAGAUAAUAAUAAUUAAUAUACAAACAAUACUUCAAUUCAUUUCUUUUAUUUCCACAAAUAAAUGAAUGCAUAUUAUGAUUUGAAUAAAUAUAUCUAUAUAUUAAAUUAUAUAAAUAUUUCUCAUUGGAUAGCUUGGAUAUAAUACAGGUACAAAAAAAAAUACACUGUCUCACAUUUACACAUAUUUAUAUAUAAUUUAAUUUAACUACUAUAAUUAUGAAUGUACACAAAUUAUUUUUUUUAACACACAUUAUUUCAAAUAUUCUAGGUAAACCAGCCUAUGUAUUAGCUGAUAUGUUUAAAAUUCAUCCCACAACUGCAUCUAAGACAGGGGUGGGCAAAUUACGGCCCGGGGGCCGGAUGUGGCCCAGCGGAAUGUUUUAUGCGGCCUGCUGACACCUACAGCAGACAUGCCUAUAGUCCCGCAUUAUGCGGAAACGGCCCGCAAAAUCAUCAAAAAAGCUCACAUGUUCCGCCGUUCCGCAUUCACGAUUUUUUGUUCCGCCAAGUCUGAAUUCCGACACUAAAAAAAAAUUGCCAUUUUAUCAUUAUUUAUUAAUAGUGCGAAUUGAAAAUACUGAGUGCAAAAUAAAAUAUAUAUAGGUCUGUGUUUAUUGUUUACAUUUCAUCUACUUCCGGACCCGGUGUGUCCUAAAUUUACGAAGAAAUGGUUGAAGACUAGAUCUACAUCUAGAUCUAGUUCUAGACAUAGAUCUCUAGAUCUACUGAUCUAGUAGUCUAGGUCUAGAUAUUAGAAUUAGAUCUAUUCUUAGAAUCUAGUUGAACUAGAGGAGCAAAAAAGAACUAAAGAAAACCGUAGGAAGAGAAUGUGUGAAGUAAAGGAACUGGAUAUAACAACUGACAAUCUGGUCAAGUCUCUAGAAAGUUCAUUGAAAGAAAAAGAGCAUGAGGUGAAACAGGAGCAGCAGAGAAACAGAGAGCUGGAUGCCAAAUUUAAGGAUCUACUCCAGGAGAAAGAAAGUAUUGAAGCUCAGCUUCAAAAAAUACUUGAUAAUCAUUACACAGAGAAGUCAGAGUUGAGUUCUAAGAUUAAAAGUCUUCAAGAAGAGAAAAAAAACACUCAAAGAUGAACUUGCUGCUCUUGAGGAGCUAAAUGCCCAACUAGUGGAAGAAAGCAAUUGUAUUAUUGAUCACACAGAUACCAACCAGAAAAUCCAGCUUUGUGACAAGAAAAAUCAAGAAAACAAUGAGCCAACAAAGGUCAAAGAGCAAAACAAACAAUGUGAACAUUUGAGCGACUCUGACAGCACUGAAAUAGAUCUAAAAAAAGGUUCAAGACCAGAAAAACAAGCGGUACUUAGAAAAAGCUGAAGGUUGUUGUCUAGGAGUGAAGAGAACUUGAGAAACACAAGCAAUGAAGUUAGUAACAUAAAGUCAAGGUUGAUAGAUGUGGAGCAUGAAAAAAUCAUGCUAGUGAAACAGCUGACACAAUUUAGAUCAAAGUACAACUACAUAACCAGACAGAAAGACAAAGAAAUCCAGAGACUCAAAAGUGUACUGGAGCGCCAAUAUGAAAAAGAGUGAGUUUUCACAGCAUGACAGUUUUUUCUUAGAAGACUUUUCUCAGUGUCAACUUUGUAUUGUGGCUUUCUUCAAUUGUCAUAAAGAUCAGUGAAUUCUGUUAAUUCUAGAUUUGAAAUUUUGUAACUUAAUACUGUGAUUAAAUACUGAAUUGUA